rnacentral:rRNA from 1 species
GAUGAACGCUGGCGGCGUGCCUAAUACAUGCAAGUCGAGCGAACGGACGAGAAGCUUGCUUCUCUGAUGUUAGCGGCGGACGGGUGAGUAACACGUGGAUAACCUACCUAUAAGACUGGGAUAACUUCGGGAAACCGGAGCUAAUACCGGAUGAUAUUUUGAACCGCAUGGUUCAAAAGUGAAAGACGGUCUUGCUGUCACUUAUAGAUGUAUCCGCGCUGCAUUAGCUAGUUGGUAAGGUAACGGCUUACCAAGGCAACGAUGCAUAGCCGACCUGAGAGGGUGAUCGGCCACACUGGAACUGAGACACGGUCCAGACUCCUACGGGAGGCAGCAGUAGGGAAUCUUCCGCAAUGGGCGAAAGCCUGACGGAGCAACGCCGCGUGAGUGAUGAAGGUCUUCGGAUCGUAAAACUCUGUUAUUAGGGAAGAACAUAUGUGUAAGUAACUGUGAACAUCUUGACGGUACCUAAUCAGAAAGCCACGGCUAACUACGUG